rnacentral:rRNA from 1 species
GGCUUAUCGAUUCCUCGAAUAACAAUAUCAAUAGGUUCAAUUGUGAAAAUAGCCAGAGAAAGAGAAAGUAAAAGCAAUUCCCAUAGUAACGACGAACAAAAUGGGAGCAGCCUAAACUGUGAAAAUAGAAUUGUGGAAGAGCGAUACAAGCAUCGUGCUAUUAGGCGAAACAACACAAACAUUGCACCAUAGAUGGUGAAAAUUCUGACAAGAAUAGUAUGGAGCAUGUAAAAUCCCAAGUGAAUUAGCAAAGACUAUAUUGCAAGACAAAUAAUCCCGAGUGACCGAUAGCAAAGUAGCACCCCAAGUGAAUUAGCAAAGACUACAUUGCAACACAAAUAAUCCCGAGUGACCGAUAGCAAAGUAGCACCGUGAGG